UCUUGGUGUCAGUGUUGUUGGUGCUGUUGGUGCUGUUGGUGUUGGUGUUGUUGGUGUUGGUUGCGGUGUUGGUGUCAGUGUUGGUACCGGUGUUGUUGGUGCUGUUGCCGGUGCCGGUGUUGGUGUC
rnacentral:lncRNA from 1 species